UACGGAGGGUGCGAGCGUUGUCCGGAAUCACUGGGCGUAAAGGGCGCGUAGGCGGCCUGAUAAGUAGGGGGUGAAAUCCUGCGGCUUAACCGCAGGGCUGCCUUCUAAACUGUCCGGCUAGAGCACAGUAGAGGCAGGUGGAAUUCCCGGUGUAGCGGUGGAAUGCGUAGAGAUCGGGAAGAACAUCAGUGGCGAAGGCGGCCUGCUGGGCUGUUGCUGACGCUGAGGCGCGACAGCGUGGGGAGCAAACAGG
rnacentral:rRNA from 1 species